UACGAAGGGGGCUAGCGUUGUUCGGAAUCACUGGGCGUAAAGCGCACGCAGGCGGAUUGUUAAGUCGGGGGUGAAAUCCUGGAGCUCAACUCCAGAACUGCCUUCGAUACUGGCGAUCUCGAGUUCGGGAGAGGUGAGUGGAACUGCGAGUGUAGAGGUGAAAUUCGUAGAUAUUCGCAAGAACACCAGUGGCGAAGGCGGCUCACUGGCCCGAUACUGACGCUGAGGUGCGAAAGCGUGGGGAGCAAACAGG
rnacentral:rRNA from 1 species